CCGAGUUUACAACUCCAAACCCCUGUGAACAUACCUAUCGUUGCUUCGGCGGGACCGCCCCGGGCCUCCGCGCCCGGAACCAGGCGNCCGCCGGGGACCACAAACUCUUGUAUUUUUUGGAAUCUUCUGAGUGAAAAAACAAAUGAAUCAAAACUUUCAACAACGGAUCUCUUGGUUCUGGCAUCGAUGAAGAACGCAGCGAAAUGCGAUAAGUAAUGUGAAUUGCAGAAUUCAGUGAAUCAUCGAAUCUUUGAACGCACAUUGCGCCCGCCAGUAUUCUGGCGGGCAUGCCUGUUCGAGCGUCAUUUCAACCCUCAAGCCCCCGGGCUUGGUGUUGGGGACCGGCCACCGCGGACUCGUCCGCCGGCCGCCCCCUAAAUCCAUUGGCGGUCACGCCGCGGCUUCCUCUGCGUAGUAGCACACCUCGCAGCCGGAUCGCGGCGCGGCCACGCCGUAAAACCCCAACUCUGAAAU
rnacentral:misc_RNA from 1 species